rnacentral:rRNA from 1 species
GACGAACGCUGGCGGCGUGCUUAACACAUGCAAGUCGAACGGAAAGGCCCUGCUUUUGUGGGGUGCUCGAGUGGCGAAAGGGUGAGUAACACGUGAGUAACCGGCCCUUGACUUUGGGAUAACUUCAGGAAACGGGUGCUAAUACCGGAUAGGAGCUCCUGCUGCAUGGUGGGGGUUGGAAAGUUUCGGUGGUUGGGGAUGGACUCGGGGCUUGUCAGCUUGGUGGUUGGGUAGUGGCUUACCAAGGCUUUGACGGGUAGCCGGCCUGAGAGGGUGACCGGACACAUUGGGACUGAGAUACGACCCAGACUCCUACGGGAGGCAGGAGUGGGGAAUAUUGCACAAGGGGCGGAAGGCUGGUGCAGCCACGCCGCGUGGGGGAUGACGGCAUUCGGGUUGUAAACCGCUUUCGCCUGUGACGAAGCGUGAGUGACGGUAAUGGGUAAAGAAGCACCGGCUAACUACGUG